CCUCUCUUCUCACGCUAUGAUGAUGGGAAAGCAGAGCUCCAUUCCAGGGACCUCGACAAUAACAGUGGUUCACUACAGCUCUGAUGACAGAGAACUAGAGAAGCGUGGAGGAACUGGAGUCCAUGGCACGCUAACCUUCAUAAACAACCUAUUUAACUGCUGCUUUUGGUAACUGCUUGUCGUGUGUGUGUGUGUGUGUGUGUGUGUGUGUGUGUGUGUGUGUGUGUGAGAGAGAGAUUCCCUCUACUGCAUUGAAGGGGUACAGAAUGAUUUGUUCAUAGAAGACAUGGUGUGGAGAACCUUUCCCGAGUCCCGACAGCAUCCUGUUAAACUGUAAAGUACAGAGCUUUAUCAGCAUCUCAGGCCCAUCUAACCUGUCACUGAUCAGAACACGAUGACGGCAGGUUAGUGUCAUCUUACUGCAGCUAAUCUACUUCAUCAGUGUAGAUGGUCGACUAGACCAGUAGCUACAGUUCAUAGUGGCUGCCGGCUCAGUCUCCGGGUCAGUCUCGGGCUCAGUCUCCGGGCUCAGUCUCCGGGCUCAGUCUCCGGGCUCAGUCUCCGGGCUCAGUCUCCGGGGUCAGUCUCCGGGUCAGUCUCCGGGUCAGUCUCCGGGUCAGUCUCGGGGGUCAGUCUCCGGGGGUCAGUCUCCGGGUCAGUCUCAGUCUCCGGGUCAGUCUCCGGGGUCAGUCUCUCCGGGUCAGUCUCUGGGUCAGUGUCAGUCUCAGUCUCUGGCUCAGUCUCCGGCUCAGUCUCCGGCUCAGUCUCCGGCUCAGUCUCCGGCUCGGGCUCAUCUCCGGGCUCAGUCUCGGGCUCAGUCUCGGGCUCAGUCUCCGGGCUCAGUCUCCGGGUCAGUCUCCGGGUCAGUCUCCGGGUCAGUCUCGGGUCAGGCUCAGUCUCAGUCUCUGGGUCAGGCUCAGUCUCCGGCUCAGUCUCCGGGUCAGUCUCCGGGUCAGUCUCCGGCUCAGGCUCAGUCUCCGGCUCAGUCUCCGGCUCAGUCUCCGGCUCAGUCUCGGUCUCCGGGUCAGUCUCCCCUGUCUGUCAGCCAGGCUUGGAGACCCUCUGUCCUCCAUGUCUCUGGUCUCCUAUGGGGCCCCUGGCCUGCUGCUCCUGGAGCCCCUGGGUGAUGUAGGCCUCCAGCAGCAGCAGCAGAGUGGGUAACAUGCUGUCCAGUAAGGCCAGGCCCUGCCACGAGCACCGCAGACCCCUACACACAAGACAAAAGAGCUUGUCAGGACCCCCAGGGGUGCACGUUUUGGCCCCUACCACCUCACAGCUGGUUCAAAUAGACUCGGAGAUACAGACACGGAGAUACAACUACUGGGCCCACUUUAAACAAACUACAAGUUAUAAGGCUUAGAAGACCUAUCUGUUGAAGGUCUGGGUUACCUGUCAUCCAGGAUU
ensembl:lncRNA